rnacentral:pre_miRNA from 1 species
AUCGCCUGGGGAUCUUGUUAAAAUGCAAAUUUUGAUUCAGUAGAUCUGGGGUGGGGGCCAAGAGUUAGCAUUCUCAACAAGCUCCCAGGUGAUGCCAA